UACGAAGGGGGCUAGCGUUGCUCGGAAUCACUGGGCGUAAAGGGUGCGUAGGCGGGUCUUUAAGUCAGGGGUGAAAUCCCAGAAGCUCAACUCUGGAACUGCCUUUGAUACUGGGUGUCUUGAGUAUGGAAGAGGUGAGUGGAAUCCGAGUGUAGAGGUGAAAUUCGUAGAUAUUCGGAGAACACCAGUGGCGAAGGCGGCUCACUGGUCCAUUCUGACGCUGAGGUGCGAAAGCGUGGGGAGCAAACAGGG
rnacentral:rRNA from 1 species